GCUCCCGUAGUCUAGCCCGGCCAAGGAUACGAGCUUCUCAAGCUUGGGACGCGAGUUCAAAUCUCGCCGGGAGCA
rnacentral:tRNA from 1 species